UGUCAGUUGAUUAGACGUAAAACAGUCAGCACAUGAGAGCGAACUUGUAAAAAGUGUA
ncrna:unclassified sequences GP20-b RNA